rnacentral:rRNA from 1 species
UACGUAGGGUCGCAGCGUUGUCCGGAAUUAUUGGGCGUAAAGAGCUCGUAGGCGGUCUGUUGCGUCGGCUGUGAAAACCCGGGGCUCAACCCCGGGCCUGCAGCCGAUACGGGCAGACUAGAGUUCGGCAGGGGAGACUGGAAUUCCUGGUGUAGCGGUGAAAUGCGCAGAUAUCAGGAGGAACACCGGUGGCGAAGGCGGGUCUCUGGGCCGAUACUGACGCUGAGGAACGAAAGCGUGGGUAGCAAACAGG